AUGAAGAAACUGAGUCCCAUAGAAAGGGAGAGUUUUGAAGACCCAAGGUCAAUCAAGAUGAUGGAUAAAGGACAACACCCAGCUGAACUGUUCUAAUAAUCCCUUCCAAACAACUUUAAAAUAGCACCUAAGAGCAAAUUCUGGAGUGGCAGAGCCAUCAACAAGUCUAGACCUGUAGCCUUUGAGCUUCAAGCUAAGGGAGCAGCGACAUAGCCCACUCCUCCCAUGGGGAAGAGAUAGCAUCCAGGAGAGGACUCAAGCUGAUGCUGGAAGCAGAGAGACUCCACGAGUUCAUGGCUGGUGAGAGCCAGUUGCAACCUUAGGACCAAACGAGCAAUGUAUGAGAAUAUCAGAUGGCUGAGAGCAACAAUACCAGGCAGAGAGUACAUGCCGUACCCACACACCCAAGAGAGACUUUACCCAGCCCAAGGAGAUAGCAUGCCACUCCAGACCAGCAGAGACAGGAAUACCAACAGAAAACAUCCGGGUUUUACAGCAUCAGGCAUCUUCCCUAGAAUUUCCCAGAGGAUCAUGUGUGAUAAUGAAUGUCAAGUGUGGGAAGACCCUGCUUCACACAUACAUCUCCAAGAAAAACUAUUCCUGGUUCAAGGGAUGCUUGUGGAGUCAUGAAUUUUUGUGUAGUCUAUCCUCGGUUGCCAGUGCAGACUCUUGCCAUCGGCUGCAGAAAAAUGGGAAGCCCAACCUCCUCCAAAUCUUUCAACACCCACAAGAUCCACCUUCCACCAAAGGAAAGGAGAGAGAGAGAUAUUCCCAGGCCAGAGCUCAGGCUUCUCUUUUUCCCUUGAGACAGUUCCUUUUCUGGAGUCCUUGUCUUGCUGCUCUCUGGAAUUCAUCAAUUCUAACUAACUCAAUACUUAUCUGUAGGACCCAGAGGACACGGCAAAAAUCCAUCCCCAAAUUAAAAGGGACUUCUCAAACUCAUUGCACUUCAUCCAGUGGCCUUCAGAGACUUAGUCUAAAGUUGUUCAUUAAGAUUAAUUGAUUGACGAAUGUAAUGGACUUCUCCAUUAGUGGCAAUGCAGUGAUCCUGAAUAACCUGGAGGAAUCUAUGAAAAAGAACACUAUCCACAUUCAGAGGAAAAACUGUAGGAGUAGAAACACCGAAGAAAAACAACUGCUUGAAUACAUGGGUCAAAGGGAUAUGGCUGGGGAUGUAGACUCUAAAUGAACAUCCUAGUGCAAACAUCAACAACAUGGAAAUGGGUUCUGAUCAAGGACACAAGUAAUACCCAAUGAAAUUGUGUGUCAGCUGUGGGAAGGCUGGGUGGAGGGGAGGAAGGGAAAUAAAGUGAGUAUUGUAACCA
rnacentral:lncRNA from 1 species